ensembl:misc_RNA Y_RNA Y RNA
AGCUGGUCCAAAGGUAGUGUGUUGUCUCACUUGACUAUUCACAGUCAGUUACAGAUUGAGCUCCUUGUUCUACUCUUUCCCUCUUCUCACUACUGCAGUUAAGAAGCAAAAA